ACGUGGUUAAUCCGCGCGUGAAACUAGCGUCUACUCUCGUCCCUCCCAGGAGAGUGACGUUGCAACGAUAUCAUACCGACAUGUUUCCUACUCUCUCUCUCUCUCUCUGCGCAUUCUUUUCGGCGAUCCGAUCUGAGUGAAUGAGAGUGUGUAUCGGCAUGGAUUCAGCGUUUGCGAGAGGAAGAUCGAGAUCCAUGUGUUUCGCAGCCUCACUCGUAUAUAUAUUAUUGUCUUCCAUCGCAGUCACCACCUUCGCAUCUAUCCACAUCUACGAUCAUGAACCUUUCCAAGAAGUCGGCAAUGCCUACCUCCUCGCCGGUGGCAGCGAAGCUAUCGUCGCUGAAGCUUCCACCGCUUCUCAAGGUAGUUCCAUCCAUGACGGCCGUUCUUACAUCCGAUUUGAGAACAUAACCUUUCGGAGACCCAAAGCUGCAGCGAAGGCACGUGGUUCUGUGCCAGUACAUAUCAUAAUUUUUGAGGCUGCUGAUCGAAAUGAUAUAGGUGGUUCUGCUUAUGGUGGACAACGGGCAAUCUGUUGCACUCCUGAUUUAGCUAAGAUGGGUGUUUGUAAACAAGGAGAGAUUAUUAGGAGGCCUUCUGCAACAGAUAUUAAUUGGCCAGUCGUUUUAGAUGUACAUUUCAAAGGAAAAUCUGUAAUUUCAAGUCUAGAUUCUCAGAAAGUUUCCAUAAAAAAAACUGGAAUGUAUAAUUUGUUUUUUGUAGCUUGUGACCCCAAACUCAAGGACAUGGUAAUGAGUGGGAAGACAAUAUGGAAAAACCCUGAUGGGUAUUUGCCUGGUAGGAUGGCCCCAUUAAAGAAGUUCUAUGUAUUUAUGGCACUGGCUUACGUCUGUCUUAGCAUCGUCUGGUUUUUUCAGUAUGUGAGAUUUUGGGAUGAUGUACUUCAGCUUCAGCACUGUAUCACAGCUGUCAUUGCUCUUGGAUUGUUUGAGAUGAUUCUCUGGUAUUUUGAGUAUGUAAAUUUCAACAAUACUGGAAUGAGACCUAUUGUGCUCACAACAUGGGUUGUCACUGUUGGGACUAUAAGAAAAACAAUAUCACGGCUUCUCAUUCUCUCUGUUUCAAUGGGUUAUGGUGUUGUGCGACCCACUCUUGGUGGUCUUACAUCAAAGGUUCUUUUACUUGGAAUAACUUACUUUCUGGCAUCGGAGUUGCUGAAUAUUACUGAAUAUGUGGGGACCAUCAAUGAUGUAUCAGGAAGGGCAAGGCUCCUUCUUGUUCUUCCCGAUGCCUUUUUAGAUGCAUUUUUGAUAUUAUGGAUUUUUACAUCACUUUCAAGAACGCUGGAACAGUUACAGGCAAAACGAAGUUCUGUUAAGUUGGAUAUAUACAGGAAAUUCUCAAAUGCAUUGGCAGUAACAGUGAUCUCCUCAGUUGCUUGGAUAGGAUAUGAGGUAUACUUCAAAGCUACAGAUCCUUUCAAUGAGCGCUGGCAGAGUGCUUGGAUCAUCACUGCAUUCUGGGACGUUAUAGCAUUUGCAUUACUCUGUGUUAUAUGCUAUCUCUGGGCCCCAUCCCAAAGUUCUCAAAGGUAUGCUUAUUCGGAGAAAGUGGGAGAAGAUUCCGAUGACGAAGAAGCUCAGUCUCUCACUAAGGAAAAACAGGAAGGUCAAGUUGAACUAAGUAUAGCUCGGCAAGAGAAGAAUGUAGGAACUGAUGGAUCCUUUAAUCAAGAAGACGAGUCAGAAGAGGAGGAUAAAAGGGAAUGAUCUCUUCACAGUUUUUAUUAACCACACUUGCACUGCUUAUACAGCUGGGUUUCCAAGUCUUAGGAUUUAUUUGGGAAGGCUGUGUCACGGUAUUUAGAUGAGCCUGAAAAGAAGGACUUGCUGCUAUACUUACUACACUGGAUGCCAGGGCAAGGUUACGUGCUUGAUUCAUCAACAAGGAAUUUAAUCCUCAAGAAUUCACACUUAAUAAAACAUCAUUCUAACUCUACGAUUGAGGAGAUAGUGCGGGAUGGUACGUUGUAUCACUUCAUUUUUUUUCAAUUGAAUUGUGAUAAACAACAUAUCUACACCUUAGUCUAGUGGUGUGGAUUGACGAGUUGUAUAUACAGCAUAAAUAAAUAUAUCCCAUCAAAUAGUUAUAUGAUUUAUUCAGCUUUUUUAUAGGUUAUAAU